GAUCAAAGUUGGAUAAGGGAAAGGAAAAAAGUGAUCGAAGAGCCGUCGUAAUCGUUCGGCAACUUCCGAGGUAAGUUUUAAGUGUUUAAACGUUGAGUAAAUUCAAUUAUAAUAAGACGUGAUGAGCUGAUUUAAUAAGAUAUGAUGUGGCCAUGAUAUGUUCUAAGCUCAAAUGGUAAGUUCUUAAGUGUUUGAGCUUGGGAAUUUAAAGGUAAUUUGAAAUAGUCUGCUUCGGACAGUAGCAGUAACGUGAAUUUAGAAAAUCACCAUAAAUUUAUGGACUUGAAUUAGAGGCUGAAUGAGACAUGAAAUUAAAUCUUAAUGAGUCUAGUUUUUUAUAAAAGAAACCGUGUAAGCAAAGGAAUUUCCGAUAAUGAGAUAUUUAAAGUUGUGUGAGACGGUGUCAGAAUGACUCUGAAAUCCCCUGUUCUGUUUUUAGAAAAUCAUUAUAAAUUGUACAAAAAUGGUUAUAAGAUAAAAUUUAUAUGCUUAAACUCCUUAAUGAGUCUAGUUUCAAAUAAAAUCAAAUACAACACAUUUUGAAUUCUGUAAAAUGAGAAAUUUGAUUCGUAGUGAAGAGUGGUCAGAUUAGUCAAACAGUGGAACAGGGGAAACUUUAAGAAAAAUCUGGUAUUGAUUGGCCAAACCUAAAAUUCUGGAAAUUUUAUGGAUGGAAUAUAUACGAGUCUAUAUUCAAGAAAAAUUAACGGAAAGUGAUUUGGAGUUUUGUAGCUCCAGUUAUAAAUGAUUUAGUAACUAUUGCUCAGGAAAAACAGCUUGUGCUGAAUUUGAGAUUGUGUUGUAAACUUUGAUAAGCUUGUUCUAGUUGCUCAUAAGCUAUCGAUUAAACCCAUAUAUGAAUUCUAAAUUGUGAUAUUGGAAAAUGAUAGAUGUAGAUUCAGCCAAGAGAGUAUGUGUGAUAAGGCCUAAUAGCCGAUGUGAUGAAUGUGAAAGUGUAUGUAUAUGUGAUAAGGCCUAAUGGCCGAUGUGAUGAAUGUGAAAGUGUAUGUAUAUAUGUGAUAAGGCCUAAUGGCCGAUGUGAUGAAUGUGAAAGUAUAUGUAUAUAUGUAAUAAGGCCUAAUAGCCGAUGUGAUGAAUGUGAAAGUGUAUAUGUGUGAUAAGGCCUAAUAGCCGACGUGAUGAAUGUGAAAGUUUAUGUGUGAUAAGGCCUAAUAGCCGAGGUGAUGAAUGUGAAAGUGUAUGUAUAUAUGUAAUAAGGCCUAAUAGCCGAUGUGAUGAAUGUGAAAGUGUAUGUAUAUAUGUAAUAAGGCCUAAUAGCCGAUGUGAUGAAUGUGAAAGUGUAUAUGUGUGAUAAGGCCUAAUAGCCGACGUGAUGAAUGUGAAAGUGUAUAUAUGUAAUAAGGCCUAAUUGCCGAUGUGAUGAAUGUGAAAGUGUAUAUAUAAGAUAAGGCUUAAUGGCCGAUGCGAUGAAUGUGAAAGUGUAUUUGUGUGAUAAGGCCUAAUAGCCGACGUGAUGAAUGUGAAAGUGUAUAUGUGUGAUAAGGCCUAAUAGCCGACGUGAUGAAUGUGAAAGUGUAUAUAUGUAAUAAGGCCUAAUGGCCGAGGUGAUGAAUGUGAAAGUAUAUAUAUGUGAUAAGGCCUAAUGGCCGAUGUGAUGAAUGUGAAAGUAUAUGUAUAUAUGUAAUAAGGCCUAAUAGCCGAUGUGAUGAAUGUGAAAGUGUAUAUAUGUGAUAAGGCCUAAUGGCCGAUGCGAUGAAUGUGAAAGUGUAUAUAUGUGAUAAGGCCUAAUGGCCGAUGUAAUAAAUGUGAAAGUGUAUAUAUGUGACAGGGCCGAGUGGCCAACGUAAUGGAUGUGAAAGUGCAUAAAUGUGAUAAGUCCCGAAAGGCAUUUGUGUCAGUACUAUAUCCGGGUUAAAACCCCGCAGGCUUUAUGCGAGAAUAUUAUCACUGAUUAAUGUUCUUAAGCUUCGUGCUUGUACUAUAUCCGAGCUCUAAAGACCCGAUGACUACGUGUGGGGAUUUUGUCCGGAUAAGACCCGAUAACUUCGUGUGGAGAUUAUGUCCGGGUAAGACUUCGUAAUAAGAAUUGCUUAUAAAUAUAUUCAAUGCGAAAGGUUAAACAGGUAUGUACUUCAAGUUUAUAUGUGAGCUUGAUUUGCACUAAAUCAUAAGGUAGUUAUGUGAUGCAUACGAAAGCAAUCUAUGAGACUAUUCCUAUGAUUAUGUGACAUCGGAUCAGUGUGAGAGGUGAUGUGAAAUCAUACGAUAUAUCUAUGUCACAUGAGUUCACUUUUAUGUGAAAGUUUAUCUGCCUAUUGUAUAUGAUGAGAUGUGCAGAUUCGGUAAAGGGAUGGUAUGCCCGAAGGAAGAGUGAAAUAAAAAUACGAACAACUAUGUUAUAAUUUGAUUGUUAUCUGUUGACACUGCUUAAAACUUACUAAGCAUUGUAAUGCUUACUCCGUUUACUCUGUUUCCUCUAUUUUAUAGAUCUCAUUGCGAAGCUACAGGCUCGGGGAUCGUCAGCAACUAGUCACACUAUCACUAUCCACUGUUUGGUACUGCUAUGUUUCGGAUUGUCUUAUGGCAUGUAUAAAAUAGACUAGUGGCGGAAGAAUAUUUUGGUUAAUGUAUAUAGCCAUGCGAAAAUGGCUUAUAUAUGUUUGAGCAUAAUGUUAUAAUCAUUUGGUAUGGAAUGGUUAAUCGCUAUCAUGAUUUGUGCUAUUUAUGCUAAAAGGGCUAGUUGAAUCAUGGAAACUAUGAAAUAGGUAAAGUCUACCUUAAAGGCAGAUGCUGGCAGCAGCAGUGAUGUAGAUUUGGAAAAUCACUAAAAAUAGUAGGAUUGGAAUUAAAUAGCGAAUAAAUUAUGUAAACGAACCCUGAUGAAUCUAUUUUCAUAGGAAAGUAACGAAAUGAUCAUAUGGACAGUAUGUUAAGAGAUAUUCAGGUUCUCGUGAGAAAGCGCCAGAACGGUUUCUGGAUUCCCUGUUACGACUUUGGAAAUUCAUUAUAAAUUAACCAGAGAUAAUUAGGAGUCAUUCCACAUAUGUAUGGAUUCUUCUCUGAGUCUAGUUUCUAUAUAAACAAACGGCAUCAGUAUUGAAACCCUGUGUAGGGAGAUAUCCAAGUCGUAAUGCGCAAAGGUCAGUGUAGUCGAUCCCUGUAACAUGGGAGACUUUGACUAAUAAACUGUACUAAUUGGCCUGACCAAAAAUUCUAAAAAAAAAUAUGUAGAUGGGCAUAUGAGUCUAGUUUGAGGGAAAAAUUACGAAAUUGAUUUUCAAGUUGUGAAACUCAAGAUAUGAUUUUUAAAGCGACUAGUAUGCAGAUUGGCAGUGUCUGGGAAUUUUUUUUUAUAAGUGGUUAAAGUCUGCUAACACCUCGUGUUCGACUCCGGUGACGGUCUCGGGUUCGGGGUGUUACAUUUGAUUGGUAUCAGAGCUACGGUUUAGUCGAUUCUAGGACUAACGUAGCACGCGUGAGUCUAUUUAUACAUGCCAUAAAGUGAUAAAAUGAUAGUGUGAUGAUUUUUUAGCUAUUAAAAUGUGUUUGCUGUAUUGUAAUGAAUCUUGAUCCCGAUCGAGCUGUAGCAAGCUUCUGACUAUGAGAAUUUGCGAUAUAACUUCAUUUAGAUAUGCCUAAAUUAUUAAGUUGAUCAGGUACGUAUCAUGUACUCGUAUUUGAAUUUCGAUUUGGAUUGAAUUAUAAGGGUAUAAGUGAUGCAAUUUUGAAGGAGUGUUAUGACUAUAAAUGUGAUUUUUGUAUGUGGCUAUGGAACUGGAAGUUGAAUGGUCGAUAAGCAUGUUGUGUUUGUAUUCAUGUAAUGUAAAUGAUAUACUAAUGUGUAUUGCUAUAUGUGUAUAUGUAUGUAGAGACGAAAUUGUCGAAUGUAAAAAGGCAGUGAAGUGUAUAGAGUGGUUGGUUUUCAGCACUAAGUGUGCGGGAAAUAAGUGUUCACGGUUGUGAGAUUGGCACUAAGUGUGCGGGCAAUAAGUGUUCACGGUUGUGAGAUUGGCACUAAGUGUUCACGGUUGUGAGAUUGGCACUAAGUGUGCGGGCAAUAAGUGUUCACGGUUGUGAGAUUGGCACUAAGUGUGCGGGCUUGAAAUGCAUGGCACUAAGUGUGCGAGUUUAAAGUACAUGGCACUAAGUGUGCGUGGUUGAUUAUUAAGCACUAUGUGUGCGAACCCACUAUAUAUAUACAUAUUUUCUAUCAAUUAUUUAUAUUACGGGUGCGACCUUACCGAGUCGAUUUCGGACAGCGAAAAGGGGUAAGUUCUUGAGUAAUAGAGCUUAAAUUAUGAUUUGAUUAGAUCAUGUUUUAAGCAAAUCAAAAUCAUGCUCUUUGUGUAUGGCUAUUGAGCCGAAAUUGCAAGAAUGAUAAGUGUCUUGUGUUUGAGUUUUGCUAACGAAAAUGAAAUACGAAUGUGCCAUGAUUUGUUGUUAAAUGUGCAUGGUUAUUUGAAUGAUGUCCGGGCUAAGUCCCGAAGGCUUUGUGCUAAGUGACCAUAUCCGGACUAAGACGCGAAGGCAUUGGUGCGAGUUACUAAAUCCGGGCUAAGUCCCGAAGAGCAUUCAUGCUAGUGAUGUAUUCGGGCUAAGUCCCGAAGAGCAUUCAUGCUAGUGAUGUAUCCGGGCUAAGUCCCGAAGAGCAUUCAUGCUAGUGAUGUAUCCGGGCUAAGUUCCGAAGAGCAUUCGUGCUAGUGAUAUAUCCGUGCUAAACCCCGAAGAGCAUUCGUGCUGGUGUUAUGUCCGGGCUAGGUCCCGAAGAGCAAUCAUGCUGGUGACGUGUAUUCGGGCCUUCGUGCCUAGUAGGCUUCGUGCCGGUAAUUUGAGCAAAGUUUAAGUAUUCAUUACUAUACGAAUUCAAAUUUAAAUGAGAUGAUAUGUUUAAAAGUGUUCAUACAUGAUGUUUAUAGACUUGGUUAAGUCAUUUCAAUGUGUAAUAACGAAUGAAUAAGAGCACUAUGUGUGUGAAUGAUUAGAGGCACUGUGUGUGUGCGAAUUCCUUUAACCGAGCACUAUGAGUGCGAGAUCGGUCAGUGGGCACUAAGUGUGUGAAGUGGAAUUCAUGUAAGACCUCGUUUGGGACGAAGGCAUUGAUUUGAGAUAGUGUGUAAGACCAUGUCUGGGACAUGGCAUCGGCUCGAUAUGUGAGAAUAUGUAAGACCAUAUCUAGGAUAUGGCAUUGUAAGAGCUAUAUGUACUAUUGCUGAAUGGACACUAUUUUGUUAAUCUUGUUUAAGAAAUUAUUUUGAUUAAGUUUCGACAUUCGAAAGUUUGAAAGAAUUUUUGAUGAAUGUUGAUAAUUUUUGAUAUACGAGUUAUGUGCUAGAAUAAAUCUCAUGCCAGUGUAUUAUAUUAGGCUUUAUGCCUAUUCGACUGUAUACGGGUAACGUUAACUAUGAUUGAAUGUGCUAAAUGAACUAAAUGUUCAGGUACGUGGAAGUUGACUUUUCUUUUGGAAAUGAGUUAAGUUGAAUAUUGAGAUGUGAUAGAGUUAUAAAGGAUAUUUAUUGGGAUGUUUGAGUAUAUGUGUACUUUCGGUUAGGUUACAGCUUAUUCAUGAAUGAAAAUGUGGGUUACAAAUAUGUGGGUUGAUAAUGUGAAUUAUACAUGUUAAUAUGUGUUUGAAAUGCAUUUGUGAAUUAAGUUAAGUGAUUAUUGCUUAUGAAAUCAAGAAAAUGAGAUAUUUGUGCAUACUUGUAGAAAUGUUUAUGUAUUUGUUUUAAGAUAAGAAAAUGAUUUUAUAGACCGAUGCGAAAUCAAUAAUGAAUUAUAAUUGCUAUCAAUGAGCUAAUGUCUUUGUGGAUAUAAUUCAAUAAGAGGACGUUAUCCUAAACUAUGCAUUGGUAGAAAUUUUCGGGGACGAAAAUUUCUUAAGGGGGGGAGAGUUGUGACACCCCUAAAGUGACCCUAGUCGGAAAGUGGUUUCGGGACCACUAAACCGAGUCAUAAAGAUAAUUAACCGUCAUAGUUGAUGCUCAUUAUAUGUACAUAUGCAUGUGUGAAAAUUUCAUGUUUGAAUUUUAUUAAUGGUAAGUGAAUUUUAUCAAAUAGGACUUAUGUGAGAAAAUUUGAAAAUGUGCUAGGCAAAUGUAAAGUGGCCUAAUAAUGCAUGUUGUGAAAUGAUGGGUUUGCAUGUCAAAUUCCCCACUUUAGAGGAAGUGGCCGGCCAUGAGGGUAUGGGAUACAAAGCAUAUGCAUUUUGUAUUAAUAUUAUAAUGACUACAUGGUUUUAUAAUAGGAAAUAAGUAUUAAAAAAAACAUAUUAAAGACAUUUUAUGCUAAUAUGUGUGGGAAGAAUAAUAAAAUAUGAGGGGAGUGGGAGGAGAAACCAAAGUUGUCUCCCCUUACUCCCCAUUGCCGUGACUAGAGAAAGGGGAGGAAAAACAAAAUUCUUCCUUUUUUGUUCAACAUGGCCGAAUGGAAGGAAGAAGAAGAGGGGAAGUUCGGCCAAGGUGGUUCUUGAGAUUAAGGUAUGUUCAAUGUUGCUUUUGGAGGUUUACACAUCCUUUGGAGGGUUAGCCUACUUCUAUUUAUCUCAUGGAUGAAAUUAGAGUUGUUGGAGAGUUAGGAUUCGGCUAAGAGGCUUCAAAAUUUUAGUUGAUGCCUUGAUACUACUAGCAUGUUAGCUAUAUGGAUGUGUUAAAUUACUUGAAAUGCUAGAUAAAUUUGAACUCCCUACCAAAUUCUUUAGGCAACCCAUGUUAGAAAUUUCGGUAUUGAGAUGUCUAGAUCUUUCGGCCAUUGUAGCUAUGGAGGAAUAAAGUUUUUGUUUCUUGUUAAAUUGGAUGAAUCUUGUUGUAUGAGUGCUUAAACAAACUAUGAUUAAAUGGAUGCAUAAAUUCAAAGUGGGAAGAAAUGGGCUAUUAUAUUUGAUGCUAAUGCCGAAUAUGAAGAUGAUGAACUUGAAUAAAUAAUAUUCAGCUAGCAUGAUAAGUUAUGAAAUAUUAAGUAGAUGAUAUAAUUGAUUGAUGAAGUGGCUAAUAAGGAUUUCUAAUGAAAUUGUUGCCAAGGCCGAAUGUAUCAUGAAGUAAAUUUGUUUGAUUUAGCUCAAGAGCCUAGAGGAUCAAAGUUGGAUAAGGGAAAGGAAAAAAGUGAUCGAAGAGCCGUCGUAAUCGUUCGGCAACUUCCGAGGUAAGUUUUAAGUGUUUAAACGUUGAGUAAAUUCAAUUAUAAUAAGACGUGAUGAGCUGAUUUAAUAAGAUAUGAUGUGGCCAUGAUAUGUUCUAAGCUCAAAUGGUAAGUUCUUAAGUGUUUGAGCUUGGGAAUUUAAAGGUAAUUUGAAAUAGUCUGCUUCGGACAGUAGCAGUAACGUGAAUUUAGAAAAUCACCAUAAAUUUAUGGACUUGAAUUAGAGGCUGAAUGAGACAUGAAAUUAAAUCUUAAUGAGUCUAGUUUUUUAUAAAAGAAACCGUGUAAGCAAAGGAAUUUCCGAUAAUGAGAUAUUUAAAGUUGUGUGAGACGGUGUCAGAAUGACU
rnacentral:lncRNA from 1 species